UCAAAAUAAUAAACAUCACCAGUAUCAUUGGCUGUCUGUCUUUCACCAACAGACGGACGGUCUCUCUAAGCUGGGAGA